rnacentral:rRNA from 1 species
UCAAAAGCAUUAGCAAAAGGGACGUGUUCGUCGCAUGAACUGACGGCCUUCGACGUGAUAAUGAUCGUCGUGGCUGGAGGGAAAAGUGUGAUGGCGAAGGUCUGUCCUAGCUUCUAAUCAAAGGCGAGGGGCUUGUGUCACGCAUGCCCUCUGUCUUAUCGAACCUUGACCUCAAAUCAGGUAGGACUACCCGCUGAACUUAAGCAUAUC